AAAAAUACAAGAACAAGCAUCAUUCAAAGUGCUUCCAUCUUGUGGUAUAUAACUAUAUAUCUCUGAAGAAGAUGAGCAGCUCGGCAGGUGGUGAUGGCAAGGGGUGUGAUGCUACUCCCAAGACAGAGUGGCCUGAGCUAGUGGGAAGCACGAUCAAGGAGGCGACGGAGAAGAUCAAGGCGGAGCGGCCGGACCUCAAUGUGAAGGCGGUCCCAGUUGGCACCUUUGUCCCCCAAGUGUUCGACCCGAAGCGCGUCCGUCUCUGGGUUGACACCGUCGCCGAGGUCCCCAGGAUUGGCUGAACCAGCUUAACGCAAAGCCACCAAAUUAUGAAUGGUACAUGCAUGUGUUCCUCAGACCAAUCUACAUAGGUCAAUUAAAUAAAUAAAAAACAUGGCUGUGAUGGAGCGUUCUCGUAUG